GAUGAACGCUGGCGGCGUGCCUAAUACAUGCAAGUCGAACGGGGAUAGCAAUAUCCUAGUGGCGAACGGGUGAGUAACACGUAGGUAACCUGCCUUUUAGUUUGGGAUACCCAGAGGAAACUUUGGUUAAUACCGGAUAUGAGCUUUAGAGGCAUCUCUAGAGCUUGAAAGGGGCUUCAAAGCCCCGCUUUAAGAUGGACCUGCGGCGCAUUAGCUAGUUGGUGAGAUAACAGCCCACCAAGGCUCGGAUGCGUAGCCGAUCUGAGAGGAUGAACGGCCACAUUGGAACUGAGACACGGUCCAAACUCCUACGGGAGGCAGCAGUAAGGAAUUUUCGGCAAUGGGGGAAACCCUGACCGAGCAACGCCGCGUGAGUGACGAAGGUCUUUUGAUCGUAAAGCUCUGUUGUUAGGGAUGAACUAUACUUUUAGGAAAUGAGGAGUAUUUGACAGUACCUAACCAGAAAGCCACGGCUAACUACGUGCCAGCAGCCGCGGUAAUACGUAGGUGGCAAGCGUUAUCCGGAAUUAUUGGGCGUAAAGAGUGAGCAGGCGGCAGUUUAAGUCUGGAGUGAAAGCGUGAGGCUCAACUUCAUACAGCUCCAGAAACUGAACAGCUAGAGUACGAGAGAAGUAAGUGGAAUUCCAUGUGUAGCGGUGAAAUGCGUAGAUAUAUGGAGGAACACCAGUGGCGAAGGCGACUUACUAGCUCGAGACUGACGCUCAGUCACGAAAGCGUGGGUAGCAAAUAGGAUUAGAUACCCUAGUAGUCCACGCCGUAAACGAUGAAAACUAAGUAUUGCCGCGAGGCAGUGCUGUAGCUAACGCAUUAAGUUUUCCGCCUGGGGAGUACGCUCGCGAGAGUGAAACUUAA
rnacentral:rRNA from 1 species